UGAUGAAUAUUUGUGACCGUCAGAUCCACAAUAUAUCCAAUGGUCGUGGAUAUUCGAAUCAAGUUAACCUAUUUAGCCGGUAACUGGUUCAUAUGAUAUGCCACCACGACUCUCUCUCUCUCUCUCUCUCUCUCUGCGUGACUCUGCCUCCCCACUGCUCAUCCAGUCGUCUUCAGCCUCCAGCCCACGGGUUCUCUCUGUGCGGCAAAGACCCUCUCCGUCUCAGCGUGUCUCCUCGAUCGUUGAGGCGUCGAUGGUGACGAACUAACGGUGGUAACUCGGCUCUUACUUUUCAAUCGAUCUGUAUCACAUGAACAUCUCGACUACUUUCUGGGUUUUCAGUCGAAUAGCCUCGAAGUCUUGAACUUGGUUGCUCUCUUCCUCAAGCAGCAAAGCAGAUAGCCUGAAACAAGCUUGAGUAAAGAUUGAUUCUUUUCUCAUGUAAAUUGAGGGGAUUGAUGGGAGUUUGAAGAAAUGGGGUUUUUGUUGUCAGUUAAAACGGGCUGUGUGUCCUGCUGAACAAAGUUUGAGUCUUUUCUCAUGUAAAUUGAGAGCCCUGAAGGGAAUUUGAAGAGAUAGAACAGGUAUACGUUCUAUUUUGAUUUGAGAGGCUGGGCUAGAGUUGAUUUGAGAUUUGGUGAAGGUGGUCUCUCUUUCUUCUCUUAAUUGAUCGCUCGUCUCCUAAUUUGAUUGUUCAUAGUGAUACUGAAGGUUGGGCUAAAUGAUGAGCAGUUUGAUUUCGUAGUAUAUGUAAAAUUUAACCAAAGAAUGUUUGAGUUUGAUUUGUAAUUUGCUUGAUUGAGUUUGAUUCGUAAUCGAAGCUGUUUGCUCAAAUAUCUGCAGUCUAGUAACUUUCAGCAGCUUGAUUUGGUGUUUACUUGUACAUAUUUGUGAUAUAUGAUUCAUAAUCCAUGAUAUAUAUUAGCUUUCGGGAAAUCUCUGGUUAGCUUCUCAUAUAUAUUGAUCAAAUGGGUAGAACCAAAUAGGGGUACUGCUUGUGUGAUUUAUCUGAUUAGCUUUGCUAGGUAGUAGGGUAAACUUUUGAAAUUUGUACCUUGUUGGUGUUCAAUUUUGGUUGCUCUGCCGUUUUUGCUGUGUUGAUUUGUAAUCCCUGUGUUGGAUCGCUGGUUUUGUGGUGUUAGUAUGUAGUCAUGUGUAGGCACAGCUUUCUGGGUUUUUGUGUAAGUUUUUGCAGCUGAUUAGCUAGUUCAAAUUUUUUGGCUUUUUUGGUUUAAGGAACUUCUUCUCUCACUUUGUUUGAGGGAUUUAUUUUUUAAGUUUUUGUGUGUUUGAUGGAAAUCAAAUGUAUAGUAGAUUUUGAGAAUUGCUCAGUUUUCCACUAUUCUGUGCAGAAAAUUGAUUUUAGUGGAAGGAAAGAGAAUCGAAAUUUUGAGAUUUGGUAUGGAUGUAGUUUAGGAGUCAUGUUCAUAUGUUGGAAUUUUGUCAUGUUUAGAUGCAUUUUCCAUUUUCUGAACUAUUCUUGGAAACUUUUGGGUCAACUAUAAACUCAAUUAUUGGAAACACAAGUGUGUUCUUCUUUUCCUAUUAUGUUUGAUUAGUAUAUGGUUAGGUGAGUAGCGUUAGCCUUAAUAUACCGUAUUUUUAUUACAAUAAAAAGGAACAGGCACCUUUUUAUUAUAAUCAGUAUGUUGAGGAGUUGAGACUGAAUGAUUGUUUCCCACUUUUCUUUUAUUUUUCUUCUCUAAUUACAUGAACUGUUGCUAUUGCUCUGAGAUUUUUGCUAUCCUUAUUCAUGAAAAUGCAGAUUCCUUCUGGCAAGUAUUUAUGUUUGAAGUAACUAGCUAAGUCAACUCAGUCAAAUUUAGCCUACUGUCCAAAUUGAGUUUUGUAUAGCUAGAGCACUCAGCUGCGUAGCUUUUCAAUUACAAUGAUAUCUUCUUUUAGUCAGGACCUGCUAUGUUCUUACAUAUUUAUGAUGGAAGUAUUUAUAGUUCGUGAUUUGUAUGGUGCUGCUA